AUUGAACGCUGGCGGCAGGCCUAACACAUGCAAGUCGAGCGGAGCGGCGGACGGGUGAGUAAUGCCUAGGAAUCUGCCUGGUAGUGGGGGAUAACGUCCGGAAACGGGCGCUAAUACCACAUCCUAUCAGAGUGGCCUAGGUCGGAUUAGCUAGAUGGUGGGGUAAAGGCCGACCAGGGCGACGAUCCGUAUCUGGUGUGAGAGGAUGACCAGUCACACUGGAACUGAGACACGGUCCAGCCUCCUACGGGAGGCAGCAGUGGGGAAUAGUGGACAAUGGGCGAAAGCCUGAUCCAGCCAUGCCGCGUGUGUGAAGAAGGUCUUCGGAUUGUAAAGCACUUUAAGUUGGGAGGCGUUACCAACAGAAUAAGCACCGGCUAACUUCGUGCCAGCAGCCGCGGUAAUAC
rnacentral:rRNA from 1 species